UCUUCAUUAUCAAUUCAUUUCCAAAUGUCUUGAUAAAGAAAGAUGUCGCUUUCUUAAGUUUGUUGAUUGAUAACAAUUUUUUGUUAUGCUUUACGGCUUUAAAAACAAUGUAUUUUUAGAAUUUGUUAGUUAUUAUUCGGAAAUUAAUUAGAAUAAAAAAGAAUUUUCAACAUUUGUGACAGUUCGGUUGUACUGCAGUGGGGGUGUAAGUGUUAAUGGCUUCCAAAAGUAACGAAGAGAAAUGUCGCGACAUAAGGAAUUACUUUGAAGUAAUUCUACUUUUAAGAUGUUUGUAAUAUUUGAGCCAAAUGAGUGACAAUUAUAAUAAGAUAAUGCCAGCUGUUUCGGGAGAACAGCGGCUUCGGCAACUCGAGGCUCUUUUCCUCGGGGGCCCCAUACAAGCCAAAGGACAAAGCUUUAGUAUCGAAACUCUUAUAGACGUGCUUCUGGUAUUGUAUGAUGAAUGCUGCAAUUCAAGUCUCCGUAGGGAAAAAACAGUUUCAGAUUUUAUAGAAUUUGCUAAACCUGUUGCAAGUUCUAUAAAAUCGCUUCGCAUGACAAGAGAAGAUUUUGAAAUUAUUAAAGUUAUUGGAAGAGGAGCCUUUGGUGAAGUAUGCGUGGUAAAAAUGAGAGGAUCAGAUAAGGUUUUUGCAAUGAAAAUUUUAAACAAAUGGGAAAUGUUAAAAAGAGCAGAAACAGCUUGCUUUCAGGAAGAGAGGAAUGUACUUGUUUUUGGAGAUCGCAGAUGGAUAACCCAUUUACAUUAUGCCUUUCAGGACGAGAACAAUUUGUACCUUGUUAUGGACUAUUAUUGCGGCGGAGACCUUUUAACAUUAUUAAGCAAGUUUGAGGACCGUUUACCGGAAGAUAUGGCCAAGUUUUACAUUGCAGAAAUGGUUCUAGCCAUAGAUUCUAUUCAUAAUUUAGGAUAUGUUCAUAGAGAUAUAAAGCCCGAUAACGUAUUAUUGGAUGCAAAUGGUCAUAUACGACUGGCGGAUUUUGGUAGCUGUUUGAAAUUAAAUGAGGACGGUAUGGUUCAGUCAAAUGUCGCCGUUGGGACUCCGGAUUAUAUUUCUCCUGAAAUUUUAAGGGCAAUGGAAGAUGGGCAAGGACGAUACGGUCCAGAGUGUGACUGGUGGUCACUCGGUGUUUGUAUGUAUGAGAUGUUGUAUGGAGAAACGCCGUUUUAUGCGGAAAGUCUUGUUGAAACUUAUGGAAAAAUAAUGAAUCACAAGAACUGCUUUGAUUUCCCUUUGGAUAUUGAAGUAUCUGAUGCUGCGAAAGAUCUCAUAAAGCAAUUAAUUUGUAGUCAAGAAUUUCGAUUAGGACAGAACGGUAUUGAAGACUUUAAGAAUCAUCCGUGGUUUGAGGGAGUCGAUUGGGAAGGAAUAAGAGAUAGCGCGGCGCCUUAUAUUCCUGAAGUGUCUAGUCCCACAGACACGUCGAAUUUCGACGUCGAUGAUGCCGAUAUUCGAAUAUCAGACGCGCUGCCCCCAACGGCUAAUUCGGCAUUUACGGGGCUCCAUUUACCUUUUGUAGGUUUCACGUUCACUCAGGGAAGUUGUAUUUCGGACAUGGGUUCUGCCAUGAGGAAUAUGAACGCAAAUAAUUUCUAUGUAAAUAAUGUGGGAAAACAAGAUAAUCGAAAUAAUGGUGAUAUAAAAACGCUGGCCUUAAAUCAAGACAAAAUAGAGAACGAAAAGAAAACAUCUCCGGACAGUACUCGGAAGCUUCAAGACGAAAUCAAUAUGUUGACUAAAAAGAACGGAGAAUUGGAAACUAAACUUCGCACUUUAGAAAGUGGACAUUCUAAAGAAAUUUGUCUCGAUUCCACGGAUGGUUCAGAAGCGAAUAAAAUAAGAGAAUUCGAGAAAAUCAUUAAAGCUUUGAAACAAGAAAAGGAGGAAUUUCAAAAAGAUAAACUAGAUUUACAAGAGAAGAUUAAAUUGCAAGACAAAGAACUAAAAGAUGCUUUGGCGCAACGAAAAUUAGCAAUGACUGAAUAUUCUGAGGUGUCCGAUCGUCUGUCUGAACUACGUCAACAGAAACAAAAAUUAUCGAGACAGGUGCGCGAUAAGGAGGAAGAAUUGGAAACUGCAAUGCAAAAAGUGGAUACAUUAAGACAUGAUAUUCGUAAAGCGGAAAAGCUUCGACGGGAAUUAGAGUCUCGUGUGGAGGAAGCUCUUGCAGAAGCCAACAAGGAAAGAAAACUCAGAGAACGGUCGGAGGAAUACUGCAGGCAGAUGCAGGCAGAAUCGGAUCGGUUGAGGGUGAGAAGCGACAUUGGUUCUCGGGAUCAGCAGGAUGCCCAGAGACUUAAAGCAGAACUGGAGAAAUUGGAGGUUCAGUAUAACGAAAGUUUAACUCAACAGCAAACAAGAUACAAUAUGGAAUUAUCAUCACUACGAGAACAACUGACUGAAGCAGAAAAUCAUAGAGACCUGUUAGAGCGUGAAGUUCAGGUAUUAAAAGACAAACUUGAGAAGGCAAGAGUAGAGGCAGUCGCUGAUUCAGAACAGACUGUGACCGAAAUUAACCGCAGGAAUGAUAGAGAAAAACAAAUUAUGCGAGAAGAUAACGAGAAACUUCAGUUAAAUGUUAAUUUAUUGUCAGAGCAACUAAGUCGACUGCAAAAUGAACGUACGGCUAUCGAAAUUGAAUACGAGCAAUUGCGAGGAAAGCAAGAGACACUCAGUCAAUGGGAAUCACAACUGGCCGAAAUCAUACAAUGGGUUAGUGACGAAAAAGACGCAAGGUCGUAUUUACAAGCUUUAGCCACAAAAAUGACUGAAGAACUGGAGUAUUUGAAACAUUCUGGUGUCUCAAACUCAGUAAGUGGAAGCGACAAGAACUGGCGAAACCGAAGAUCCCAGAAAUUAGAUAAAAUGGAACUUUUGAACUUACAAAGUUCUCUUCAGUCUGAAAUUCAAGCCAAACAAACCAUCAGUGAGGAUUUGAGCAAAACAAGAGCAGAAUUAUUGGCGGCACAAAAGGAAUUGAGAGAUUACCGGCAGAGAAAUGAUGUGCUUGCAAUGGAAGUGAAACGGAAAGAAAAACAAAUCAAAGACCUCCAAGGACGUUUGGAUUCAGGAGAGGGAUUUCUGGAAAGACCUUCAUCUCAGAUGUCUUAUCUAGACCAGUUUUUGAAAGAAACCAAUUCUUCGCAGUCUCAAAUCCAGGGCCAUGCAGUGCCACAUUCUUACGAAAAUGCAGCCCUUUUGUACCAAGGGGGUUCUCUUGAGUCAGAAGAAGGUGACAUUGAGGACAAUCGGGCUCUUAGUAUAGCCAGUUCUAAAAGCAAUUUAUCGGAAUUAAAUAUGCAUGAAUCGCAUUCUCCGACGAAACUGAAAACGCACCAGUUUUUAGUUCGUACUUUCUCUAGUCCAACAAAAUGUAGUCAUUGUACGUCUUUGAUGGUCGGCUUGAUGCGCCAAGGAAUGGUGUGUGAAAUAUGCGGGUUCACGUGUCAUACCUCUUGCUGUCCGCACGUGCCUGCCGUUUGCCCUGUACCAUCAGAUCAAACGAAACGUCCAUUAGGAAUAGAUCCAACUAGAGGUAUAGGCACAGCCUACGAAGGUUACGUCAAAGUUCCCAAACAGGGUGGCGUAAAAAAAGGCUGGGUACGUCAAUUUGUAGUUGUCUGUGAUUUCAAAUUGUUCUUGUACGACAUAUCACCCGAUCGAAAUGCACUACCUUACGUGCAUGUUGCCCACGUUUUGGACAUGCGCGAUCCCCAAUUCAGUGUCAGUAGCGUACGUGAAUUGGAUGUAAUUCACGCUAACAAAAAGGACAUACCGUGCAUUUUUAGGAUAACAACAUCUUUAAUGGAACCUCCGGGCCCUCGAAAUUCGACAUUAAUGUUGGCUGAUUCCGAAGCAGAAAAAAAUAAAUGGGUCGUCGCCUUGUCUGAAUUACAUCGAAUAUUAAAGAGGAAUAAUCUUCCGAAUACAACCGUACUAGUAGCUAGGGAACUUAUAGACAAUUCGUUGACUCUGAUCAAAAACACCAUGAGUUCAGUGAUCAUUGAUCCCGACAGGAUUGUUCUAGGAGCCGAAGAAGGAUUGUAUUGCGUUGACUUGGAUCGAUCAGAAAUUGCAAGAGUGGGCGAGGGUAAGAAAAUCUACCAGUUAGAGUACAUCAGUGAAGAGCAUUUACUGGUGGUAGUAAGUGGAAAGCAAAGGCACGUACGACUUGUACCGAUAAGGGCCCUAGAUGGAGACGAUACUGAAUGGAUCAAGGUGGCUGAGAGUAAAGGUUGUUCUGCUCUCGCUGUGGGACCAGUUUUACAAAACCCGCUGACUUUUUAUCUUUGUAUAACCGUUAAAAAACAGAAUUCGUCUUCGAUAAUUGUUUACGAAAUAACGCGAACCAGGACGAGACAUCAUAGGUUAAGAGAACUUUCGCUACCAGUCGUUGUUCAAUCGUUGCAGUUGCUCUCUGAUGGAAAAUUGUGUAUUGGAUCAUCCUCCACGUUCACCCUUUACAGUGUUCAAGGCGAUCAGCUGUCAAUAUCAUUAUUGCACACGGAAAACCCCCUUCAAGCGACGUUGUCUCUCAGUUCUGUAGAAGCGGUCAGGGCGAUAGAGUUACCGAAAAAUGAGUUUUUGCUUGUCUUUGGCACCCUUGCAGCUUAUGUGGACAGGCAUGGACGGAGGUCGAGAGAAAGAGAAAUUAUGUAUCCUGCCGUACCCACAGCAAUUUGUUACCGCGACGGCCACUUAAUAGUUUAUAGCGAAACUCACAUAGAUGUGUUCAACUGUUUAUCAGGGGAGUGGGUUCAGACUUUAAAUGUGAAAAAAGCAAAGCCGUUGAAUAAUACUGGGAGUUUGUCGAUUUGCGUCAUCCACGAUUUAAGUCACUUAUUGUACUUAUCCAAUAUACAUCAACCGGAACUAAUUAAUUUAGAUAACUUCGUGACACAAGAUAGAGACGGUAGAACGAUACAGAGGCCUCGAAGGAGAUUUUCAUUGCGAGAGGGGCACAGAGGACAGAGAAUAGGUAAGAAGAGCAGUAAACGUAACUUUUUAAGAAAAUUUUGAAAUAGCAAAGGUGUAGAAGAAAACGAAAAAGAAAACGCAGUAGUUUAAGAAUACAAUGUAAAACUAUGAGAACUUCGGACCGACGUUCUAAACUCAUAUCAGCUCCUACGAAUUUCAAUCAUAUAAGUCACAUGGGCCCCGGAGAAGGCAUUCAAAAACAACG
rnacentral:misc_RNA from 1 species